AUCCGGGUUGCGGACAGUGUCUGGUGGGUAGUUUGACUGGGGCGGUCUCCUCCCAAAGAGUAACGGAGGAGCACGAAGGUUGGCUAAUCCUGGUCGGACAUCAGGAGGUUAGUGCAAUGGCAUAAGCCAGCUUGACUGCGAGCGUGACGGCGCGAGCAGGUGCGAAAGCAGGUCAUAGUGAUCCGGUGGUUCUGAAUGGAAGGGCCAUCGCUCAACGGAUAAAAGGUACUCCGGGGAUAACAGGCUGAUACCGCCCAAGAGUUCAUAUCGACGGCGGUGUUUGGCACCUCGAUGUCGGCUCAUCACAUCCUGGGGCUGAAGUAGGUCCCAAGGGUAUGGCUGUUCGCCAUUUAAAGUGGUACGCGAGCUGGGUUUAGAACGUCGUGAGACAGUUCGGUCCCUAUCUGCCGUGGGCGCUGGAGAAUUGAGGGGGGCUGCUCCUAGUACGAGAGGACCGGAGUGGACGCAUCACUGGUGUUCGGGUUGUCAUGCCAAUGGCACUGCCCGGUAGCUAAAUGCGGAAGAGAUAAGUGCUGAAAGCAUCUAAGCACGAAACUUGCCCC
rnacentral:rRNA from 1 species